UAUUGUUAUACAGAUGAAACUUUCCCAAAAAAAAAGAAGUACAAGGAGACUAAGCAACAAUGCCAUUUCAUUCCCAGAAAGAGCUCAGUGGCCCAGAUGCUACGAAGAUAGAUGCAGACAUUAUUGCUGGAACAUUUGUUGAUGCAACAUUUCAGUUUUACUUCUUUUUUCCCAGUUUGUGAUGUAUUGCUCUACAUAUGGCCUCCAAGCAGAAAAUGAGCUGUGGAGAAAGCAAUCAGAGGGGACACCCGUCCUAUUCUGGAGAUCAUUGCAUCACCAAACGUUCCUGGCAAGACUUUUUUCUACAAACAAGGAAGAGCAAAGAGCUGUCCCCCACACUUUGUGUCAAGGCCUAAAGCACGGUCAGCCAGAGACAUCCAGACGUCCUCGAUGUGAAGAGAAGAGGAUGGGAGAGGAGGAGAAACUCUGUGUGUCACAGAAGGGGGGAGGAAAAGGCGAGGCCGCAUCAGACGACUGCCGAGCUACAUCCAAGUGUCAGGGUCCCAAAAUAGUGGCGAGCAACGACCAGACUGAAGAUACCAAACAAACAACAGCUCUCAGAUCAAGUAAACAUCGGCUAACACACAAGACACGACAAACUGUGAAGCCUCCCUCUGUCUUCCGGUGUCGUUAAUCAGAGCUGCGGAGAAAGCAAUCGGAGGGGACACCCGUCCUAUUAGAGGAGGCUGCAGCCGUCUCUCCCCUCCUCUGACCGGAGUCCUCGCAAACACUUUGCCUUCGAAAAAACGUUGACAAGCUCCCUCUGUGUGGUGCUGUGUGGACACAGAGGACAGAGUCUCGUCUCCAGCAGAUGUCUUGUGGCGCAGACUAUAAAUAAAGCCAAUGAGACCAGCCGGCCGCUGACGAGCACAAGCCGCCGCGAGGCCGUGUUAGUUUUGCAAAAGGCCUGUCUAGUCUUGGCACGGCAGGCGGGCUAACAUUUGGCGGGCCCCGUGUUGAAGCCUGCGGGCUUUGUGUUUAGGGUUUGAGAGGAAAAUAAAGAUUCUAGCCCCUAAAGUUGAGGUUUUAUCAAAAGUUGUUUUCCGUGUUGGGGCAGGUGUGAGAGGAAAUGGUGGAAGCUGAGGUGCACAAAGCUCUAUAGAGAGCAUAGAGGCGCGUAGGGAAACGGAAACAUGGAUGCAGUGGAAAACAUGUCAUGCAGUGUUAAUUUCUCCUCUGUGCAGUAACAUAUAGCCAAUUUAGCAAGCGUUUAACAUCAGUGAGAAGAAGUAUAACAUCCAAUGUAUUCACCAUAUCGUAAUGUGCCAUUAAAUGGGGUGCAACAGUCAGAGAAGAGCGCACCAGUGUAGCCUUGUGUUUCAUUGAUGACCCUGACAAUCCCAAAGGACAUCGGUGGCCCUGGGGCCUGUCUGUCUCUAUUUAAACCACUUUAACAGCCCCUUGUUUGGAAAGGAGAGACUUUCAUUUGCCAAGACAGUGUAGGCACCCUCGAUUAAGAUGUAAUGCAGUGCCGUUUUAUUGCACAUUUCAUUGUAGGACGCACCCACAGUUAGCGCUUUAAGAAGGAAAAUAUCCCAGGUCGGCCAUAACAUGGAACACUUACAGCAUCUCUGCGAUAAUCAGCACAAAUGGGAUAUUUUGACACUGAUAAAAUGGCCGAUACACAAAUCACCUCCUGCUUUUUUGAAGAAACAUUUAGAGUAUACUGCCGU